rnacentral:rRNA from 1 species
UACGAAGGGGGCUAGCGUUGUUCGGAAUUACUGGGCGUAAAGCGCACGUAGGCGGACUUGUCAGUCAGGGGUGAAAUCCCGAGGCUUAACCUCGGAACUGCCUUUGAUACUGCAAGUCUUGAGGAUGAGAGAGGUAAGUGGAACUGCGAGUGUAGAGGUGAAAUUCGUAGAUAUUCGCAAGAGCACCAGUGGCGAAGGCGGCUCACUGGCCCGGUACUGACGCUGAGGUGCGAAAGCGUGGGGAGCAAACAGG